CUGAAACUGGUUAGCAACCAGAACCUCGCUUUGAUGGUUACACUGAGAUGGAAGGAGGAACGGGAAGAGGGAAGAUUAACCUUUCACUGGCCACAAUGCGUUGCCUCUUAUUGAGGAGGAUUCAGCAGCCCAACCCCCUCCAAUCCAGCCUAUCUGUCUGAAUUGCUGAAAGCAUAAUGCUCCCAUAUGAGAGAUAAAAAACACACUUGUGUCAGGAAAAGAAAACAUAGGAGGAAGAGUUUAUCUCUGUGCAUGAUGGAGAUGGGAUAUGGAGAGGGCCAUGAAAGCAGAGGGAAAGGGGCUGAGCUGCGCAUUCAGCACUUGCUUUGCUUGGUACAUACUGCACCGCAAGCACCUCGCAGACCAUGCUUGUAUUGCGAAUGACACACUUGUGUUCUCUGCUAAUGUGAUGUUCCUGUAAAGGUGGGUAAUGCACAAACUGCAAGGAGCCCGCAAUUUGGCAUCCUUGUGCUUCUGCCUUUUGCUUUGGAAUGUAUUUAUCUGCAGCAAGAAGAGCUCACCAAAGCUCAAUGAAUUUUCCAGCAGUGUUGACUCAGAAAAGCCAGCAGAACAAUGGCAG
rnacentral:lncRNA from 1 species